UACGUUGGGUGCAAGCGUUAAACGGAAUUACUGGGCGUAAAGCGUGCGCAGGCGGUUUUGUAAGUCUGUCGUGAAAGCUCCGGGCUCAACCUGGGAAUUGCGAUGGAGACUGCAAGGCUUGAAUCUGGCAGAGGGGGGUAGAAUUCCACGUGUAGCAGUGAAAUGCGUAGAGAUGUGGAGGAACACCGAUGGCGAAGGCAGCCCCCUGGGUCAAGAUUGACGCUCAUGCACGAAAGCGUGGGGAGCAAACAGG
rnacentral:rRNA from 1 species